CCUACGGGCGGCAGCAGUGAGGAAUAUUGGUCAAUGGACGAGAGUCUGAACCAGCCAAGUAGCGUGAAGGAUGACUGCCCUAUGGGUUGUAAACUUCUUUUAUAUGGGAAUAAAAUGUUCCACGUGUGGGAUUUUGUAUGUACCAUAUGAAUAAGGAUCGGCUAACUCCGUGCCAGCAGCCGCGGUAAUACGGAGGAUCCGAGCGUUAUCCGGAUUUAUUGGGUUUAAAGGGAGCGUAGGUGGAUUGUUAAGUCAGUUGUGAAAGUUUGCGGCUCAACCGUAAAAUUGCAGUUGAAACUGGCAGUCUUGAGUACAGUAGAGGUGGGCGGAAUUCGUGGUGUAGCGGUGAAAUGCUUAGAUAUCACGAAGAACUCCGAUUGCGAAGGCAGUUCACUGGACUGCAACUGACACUGAGGCUCGAAAGUGUGGGUAUCAAACAGGAUCAGAUACCCCUGUAGUC
rnacentral:rRNA from 1 species